rnacentral:misc_RNA from 1 species
AAGUCGCAACAAGGUUUCCGUAGGUGAACCUGCGGAAGGAUCAUUAACACGUAUCCAACGUUAAACAACCCUGUGAACCUUCAGACAGUUCUUCUAGCCCACGCGGAACAGCAAUCCCGGUAAAUCAAGUGGCGGAAAGUUUUUUGAUUCGGGACCUCUGUCCGAGUGGUAUCAAGUUAGAAUCCGAACUUGAGCAGUGGCAUGGGGGACUGAUAAGGAUCUAGCGGUCGAUCACCGAUCAGCAGACAUGUCACAGGGCUUUACGCCCCUUCGUUCACACCUUGCCUAUUUAAGCCCCGCGGAAACGCCUGGGCUAAAAACCGAACAACUGUUAACAAUGUAUAUCUUGGUUCUC